GNNNGGUCUAUACAUGCAAGUCGAACGCUUCCUCCCAAAUUGGUUUCUAUGCUCCGCCUAAAUGAUUUUUGGGUUCAAAGGGAGAGUAGCACUGGGGAGACCCGCCUGGGUAACCUGCCCCCACUUGGGGGAUGGUUUUGGAAACAAGAACUAAUACCGCAUAAUGGUUGGAUUUGCAUGGCUCUUUUUGAAAGAUGUGACUGAUGGACCUUUGGGAUGGACCCUCGCCGGAUAGGUUACGUGUCGAGAUAAAAACCAUGCAUAACCAAGAUGCGAGGGCGACCUGACAGGGUAAUACUGAACCUUGGGACUGACUCAUAGGGCAGACUCCUACAGGGAAUCUUCGUAGAUGGUCUAAAGUCUUGGACAAAAGUCUGAUGGAACUGCACCACGUGAGUGGAGAAGGUUUUCCUGUCGUUAAACUCUGUUGUUAAAGAAAAACACUGGUCAUCCCUUCAGUGAACCCUUUGACAGUGUCUCACCUAACUACCUCCCAUAACUCCCUGCCAUCCGCCGCGGGAAUACGUAGGUGGGAUGCAUUGUCCGGAUUUAUUGGGCGUAAAGCUUGCUAAGGCUGAUUUGAAAGUCUGCUGUUCAAGCCCUCAGGUUAACUGAAGACUGGCAGAGGAAACUGCAAAACAUGAGAGCGGAAUACCAUGUGGAAACUCCAUGUGUAUAGAUGAAAUGAGGAGCUCCAUGGAAGAACGCCGCUGUCUAGGGCGGCUUUGAGGCUGGUGAUUGAAACUGAGGGUCGAAAGCAUGAUUAGAUAACCUGAUUAGAUACCCCGGAAACCAAGGCCGCUAACGAUGAAAAGUAUUCCUCCCAUGGUUUCCGCCCUUCACGGCUGCAGCUAACCCCCUGAGGAUUCCGACCGGAGAGUACAACCUCAAGGGAAAAACUCGAAGGACUUGACGGCGGCCCACCCAGUGGGUGAAGUAUGUGCUUCAAUUCGAAGCUUCCCAGGUAUUCUUACCAUUUCUUGACUUCUUAUGUCGACCUUACACAAUCGGGGGUUACACUGUCCGGGACAUAAUUGACAUUGUGGUGCAAUGUGUUGUCGUCAGCACUGCUUGGUGCGUUAAGUUUGCCGUGCGAGACGUAGGCGUCCACGCCCAUAUCGAAUGGGCGUUAAGNNNCGCCUNAA
rnacentral:rRNA from 1 species